rnacentral:tRNA from 1 species
UGCUCGGUAGCUCAGCGGGUAGAGCGGCGGGUUGAAGAUCCGCGCGUCGGGGGUUCGAGUCCCUCCCGGGCAA